GUUAGGAUUCAGCGACCACACAAAGGGCCUUUUUAUGUAUCUCCCAAAACAAUUGAUGAGCUCAUUGAAAACCUUGGGAAAUGGGCAAGGUUGUAUAUAACACAAGCAUACAAGGAUUCCUGCUUUUUUACAUGAAUUCACAAGGUUGAAUCCAUUAGAAUAAUAGAGAGAAAGAAACUAAUGAGAUGUAUCUACCAGGUGGUACAAGUAUGCCUCUUUUGGUUUAACAAUCUUCGGCACUUUCCUGAUUGCUAAGCGUGCUAUUCAUUAUAUCUUGCAAAGAAAGCGCCGUUGGGAAUUACAUAGAAGGUAUGCCUAAUUCAUUAUUCAUAUGAGGGGAAAAGAAGAAGGGGGGGGUGGGGGGGAAGGGACAAGGGAAUACAAAAAUUUGACGUACAUGCAUAACGAGAUUCUGUAUGUUGACAUAGCCGCCAGUGAUAAACCUGUGUCACUGAACAUAGGUAUUUGCAUGCAAGUUGAAAGCGAAAUCAUGGUUGGCCAGUCCUAUUGCCAAAAAUUUAUGAUGAUAUUAUUUUGUGAGUAACAUGGAUAGUUCUUAUUUUUUCAUGAUAAACUGAAUUGUAAAGCUCUGUCUGUGUAGGGUUCUUGCUGCAGCAGCAGUCAAGAGAUCAGAGCAAGAUAAUGAAGGUAAAUUAUCUGGUUGUUUACAUAGUUGUUGUUAUAAAAGAGCAAAUAAAAUAGAUAUGAUCUAGUCUCAGAAUAUUGCAUUUAUUUUGUAGGCACAAAUGGUCAAGCUGAGAAUGGAUCAGAUGGUACUCAAAGGGACCGUGUGAUGCCAGAUCUAUGUGUGAUAUGCCUUGAGCAAGAGUACAAUGCUGUUUUUGUCCCGUAAGCACGCUAGCUCUCUAUUAUUUGAAUUAUACAGACUGUCAAAUAACUGUGAGAAAAAGACUAUAAAUCGACAGUCUGUACAAAUUGCUUUUUGAGUUUUGACUUAUGCAGCUUUGAAAUUAAACAAAUUGCCUACUGCUUAUGUUCUGUAGGUGUGGUCAUAUGUGCUGUUGCAUUAUAUGCUCUUCGCACUUGACAAACUGUCCUCUUUGUCGGAGACGGAUUGAUCAGGUGGUGAGGACUUUCCGGCAUUGAGGAUUUGCAUGCUUCUGAUAUAUUUGUAGCAACUGUACUGCUGAGAAAUGCGUGGAUGAUCAGGAUCUUGAUUUUUGAGCCAUUUAAGAUUCUGAGGGUGUAAAAUAUUCCUCGUGAUUGCAGUAACUUAACAAAGUAACACGUGUAAAUUCCUCACUUCUCAGCGCCCUAUGUAAAUGUUUAGAAAUAUUUUCCUUUCCCAGCAGAAGAAUGACUGUCUGCAUCGUUGCAGUUAGAUUUAUUUUUAAGUAAAUUUGUACUUGAGAUCCUUUUUCGUUUGUUCAUCAUGUUUAUUUAUGUAUGUAUCCUCUUCUACAAUAUUUAUGUGUUGAAUUUAUUAGUAUGUAUUAGAUCAUCUAUUCCGCUUGCCAUUCAUCUGAAGUUAAGUUUUAGUUUCGAAAAAUUAAUAAUUAUGGCAGUGGCUAUGGCCUAGUCCUACGGGCUGGCGGUGCCCCAGGCUUGUGCGAACGAUGACACAAGCCAUUUAUAAACUAACAGUAAUAAGGGAAUUUUUUUUUUUUUGGUAUAAAUGAAUUAAUUAAGAGAAAUUAUCAUUGUAUCGAUUUUAUUUUAUCUUAUGUUCAUCCAAUCAUUACAAAAUUUUAACAUAUAUUUUGCAUCACUUUUUUUUUUCAUAUUUAUAUCAACUAGCCACUUUUGCAUUAAUGUUAUUAAAUAAUUUUAAUAAAAUAAUAAUUUUACUCCUAAAUAAAUUAAAAUACUAUUUUAUCUUAUAAAAACUUUUAAAAUUAAAAAUUAUAAUCAUAAAAAUAUUUCUAAAUUUAAUAAAAAAUAAAUCACAAAUAGAGGUGCUCAACUGAUUUUUACUAAAUUUAGAUUUGAUAUAAAAUCGCAUCCUCUUUCCUUUUUUUUUUCCUUUUCCCAUCCACAUUCACUUCUCCUCGAUUUUGUUAAUUAAUUAAUGAGAAAUUAUCAUUGCACCAUCUUUAUUUUACUUUAUAUUCAUUCAACCACUACAAAAUUUUAACAUAUAUUUUACACCAUAUUUUUUUUUCACAUUUAUAUCAACUUGCUACUUUUACAUUUGCCUCGUGUUUUCAGCACCCCUCUCUCUUUUUCUUUCCUUUAACCGAACAUGUAUUCAUUCAGUUACUCGCUCUUCGCGUCUGAAGUAUGGGUUGGGACGUGUCAAACUUGAUCAAUAGCUUUAGAUUAUUUUCGAAUCUAGGCGCCCUAGGAUUUUGGGGGGGCCAUGUACGUUAAUAGUAAAUGUCUUAUGUGUUAGCAUACAAUAAUCACAAUUCAAUCCGCGGGAAAGAAACCACCCAAUUGGGCAAUGAAGAACCAUCAACUAACACGAGAACCUGCGACACAAUUACAAAUUUGCUACAAGAUCGUUUUUUUAAGCUCUCGUGUCUUUCAAAGUCGUGCAUUUGCACAUAAUAGCGAAUCCGAUACCUUCUUGAUCUUUAUUUGAAGUCGUCAUAGACACACGUUCAUUAAGCUACUUGUUUUAAUUGCACUGUCAAUUCUCGCAUCUAAUUCUCCCUUGAGUGUUGAUAAACUAACAAGCGUCAACUUAUUUAAUUGCUCGUUAAUUUCCAAAUCUGCUUUCAUUUUUUUUUUUUUCCAAAUUGCACUGUCGUUUUACAUAAAGUGUCGUUUCGUUCUGAUUCUGCACAUGAGAAUUGCUUACAAUAGAUAGUAUGUGAUUGGAGAAAUUAGGUUUUGAUAGGGGUAAGUUAAAGAUGAUUUCAUGGGGCGGCAUCAGCUGCUGCUUGAGUGGAGCUGCUCUUUAUCUGCUCGGCCGGAGCAGUGGCAGGUCACAACUCCCUAAUUUCUCUUCCUUUUUCUUUUUUGGCAUUAAAAGAUUAGGUAUAUAGAAACAUGAAUUUCAUGUAAUUUUAUUUGUUUGUUAAAUUUUGUGUGUUUUGGUUUGUUGCAGAGAUGCGGAGCUUCUUAAGACAGUCACGCGUGUCAAUCAACUCGAGGAGUUGGGUAUGUGAAGGUCCAAUUGUUAUUUUGGUUUUGAUGGGCUUAAAUGCUCGCCUGCCUGCUUGCAGAUUGUUAGUUUUUUGUUUGGUUUGGAUGUUGACACAAAAGAUGUUCUGUAGACAUAUUUACAACAUAAUUAGGCAAUAUGGAUGUAUUUGUAUUUGUAUUUCCCUAUGCGUAAUGUUAAUGACUUAGACUUGAUGCUAUGACUGAAUUUUGUGAAAGGAACAUAUAAGUCUGGUUGUAUACUCGUUCUUUCUAUUUCCACCUGUGAAUACUGAUUUGUUGAUAUUGCGUGAUCGAAUUCUGAUAAAGUUGUUGGAAUAGUUAUCCACCUUGAAACAUUUAAAACUUAUACCCUGAUUGGCAACUGGGUUGAUUGUUAUGUUGAAAAAUGAGCUAGGGGACAUUAGUGCAAAUGUCUGUUGAAGUUCAUAUUGCAGGCGUAGUGCAGACAACUUAGGUUACAUGUGGAACAUAUGUUGGUUGCCGAUUUAGUUUGUUGCUGAUGGCAUUGUUGAUGCUGCAAUAUCUUUCCCAAAGAAUAAGGUUUUCUCUUCUUUCACCUUUCAGCACACUUAUUGGAUGGUGGAAGUAAAGUUUUGCCAUCCAUUGUUUCGGUCUCUGGAAGAGUUGGCUCUGAAACACCAAUUAGCUGUGAAUAUAGUGGGUUGAGAGGCGUGAUUGUUGAGGAAACGGUGGAACUUAAUUUCUUUUUUUUCAAUUACGAGCAUAAAUUGCAUUAUUUAUCAACGUUCCUUUUUGUAUGAAUACAUAAACAUUCUUGUCCUUUGGUUCUUCAGACUGAACGACACUUUCUGAAACACAAUGAUGCCGGGUCUUGGAUCCAAGAUUCUGCAUUAAUGUUGUCAAUGAGCAAGGAGGUUCCAUGGUAUCUAGUGAGACUCCCUCUCUAUCUCUCUGUCUAACCUGCUUGUUUAGUCAGUAAAUCCACUGUAAAUAUUGCUUUUGAUGGUUCGAUGAAACUGCUUAUUUGAAAGCCAAAAGUGAAGGUUUAUGAUUACUAUUGUAUCAUAUAUAAACUCCAAUGCUGGAUUCGAGGGGAUUCAUUGAUGAUUUCUUUUGCACUUAUCAGGAUGAUGGGACUGGCUGUGUGUUUGUAGUGGGAGCCCGUGGUGCCACAGGUUUUGCAUUGACUGUUGGAAGUGAAGUUUUUGAAGAGUCAGGAAGAUCACUUGUACAUGGAACAUUAGACUACCUCCAAGGCCUCAAGGUUUUUGUUCUUCAACUUUUUCAUUAUACGAGAACACCCACAUUGUUCUUGCUUGGCUUAUUUGAUGGGAGUUUAUGAUUUUAGAUGCUUGGAGUCAAGCGUAUUGGACGGCUACUCCCAACUGGUACUUCGUUGACUGUAGUUGGAGAGGUAUGGCUUACUUUAGUGAAUAAAAUAAUAUGGCAUCUUGUCUUUUUGUAUACAAUGCGAUUGAACAUUAUCAGAUUUAACUUUUGAGAUAGAUAUACUGCUAAAAUAACAAGGUCUACUAGAUGAAGAUGUAUUGAAAGUAAUUGCCUUUAGUAAUACGCAUGACAAAGGGAAAAAAUAAAUAAAUAAAAGGGAAGAUAACAUUGCUUGGAAUCCAGAAUGUGGGUCUCUGCAAGUCAAUUCUGAUUGUCGAAGAAUGAAUUUUGCAUGAAUAGGAAUACGAAUUCUUUAUAGCAGCACAAUUGACCUUGUUGUUAGUUUGUGGGUGGAAAACCAUUACACUUGCUCCAGCCAAUGAGUUUUGUAUUGUCAUAGUGCAACAUUUUGUCAAUGUUUAAUAUGUAGUCCGCUUCCAAUUUCUGUUGAUUUAAUGUGAGCCAUUUUUCCUGUGUUCAUCAUAUGUGUUUGCCAAUGAUUAUGCUAAGUUAUUUACUUGCAUCUGCUUUUGUUAUUUUAAUUUGCAAUCAGGCUGUGAAAGACGAUAUUGGAACAGUUAGGAUUCAGCGACCACACAAAGGGCCUUUUUAUGUAUCUCCCAAAACAAUUGAUGAGCUCCUUGAAAACCUUGGGAAAUGGGCGAGGUUGUUUAUAACACAAGCACACAAUGAUUGCUCCUUUUUUCACACAAAUUCACAAGUUUGAAUCCAUUAGAAUAAUAGAGAGAAAGAAACUAAUGAGAUGUAUCUACCAG
rnacentral:lncRNA from 1 species